rnacentral:tRNA from 1 species
CCACUAUAGUUUAGUUAAAACAUCGAAGUGCAAAUUCGAAAAUGAAAUAACUUUCUGGUGAGUU